UCUUUGUAGUCUCCCUGGCCUCAUAAUUCUCUUGUAACUUUUCCUUCAACCUUGAAGCUCCAUCACUGGUGCAGCACAUGAUGACAACUCCUGAUCAAACUGUUCUGGCAUUCUUCACUCCCAGUUUUAAGUCUCUGAGGUUGACCUCCUGCUCUACUUUUUCCAACAGUUUGACAUCAACAAAAAAAAAGUUCCAGCGAAUGACUAUUUAUACGUUUAUGAAAAAAGUAUUGAAUCACUAUUUCCAGAAGAAUAGUGAUUCAAUGCCUAAUCCUGACUAGAAACAUUAUCCGGUGUAAGGAACCAACCG
rnacentral:lncRNA from 1 species